rnacentral:rRNA from 1 species
GGUUUCUUGGGAUAAGUUAAGAGAUCUAACCUGCCCACUGAAAAUUUUGAAGGGCCGCAGUAUUUUGACUGUGCAAAGGUAGCAUAAUCAUUAGUCUUUUAAUUGAAGGCUGGAAUGAAUGGUUGGACGAGGUAAUAGCUGUCUUAAAUUAAAUUAUUUUGAAUUUAGAUUUUAAGUAAAAAGACUUAAAUAAAAUUAAGGGACGAGAAGACCCUAUAGAGUUUAAUAUAUGUACUUUUAAUUAAGUUAAUAAAAAAUUUUUAGUUAAUUAUGAAAUAUAUUUAAUUGGGGUGAUUAAGAGAUAUAGGGAACUCUUUUUUGAUGUAAAUAAUAUAUUAUUAAAUUAAAGAUCCAUUAUUUAGUGAUUAAAAGAUUAAAUUACCUUAGGGAUAACAGCAUAAUUCUUUUUGAGAGUUCAUAUCGAGAAAAGAGAUUGUGACCUCGAUGUUGGAUUAAGAUAAAAAUUGGGUGUAGAUGUUCAAUAAUUUAAGUCUGUUCGACUUUUAAAAUCUUACA